CCGAGGCGAUUAAAAGGGAAUCAGGUGAGAGGCCUGAACAGACCCGCUACUGUAUGUUCCAUAUCAACCGAGCGGACACGACACCAGUGUCACUGACCGGAAACGGUCGGGAAGGCAGUCCGCGAGGGGAACGAGUCAGGAGACCUGCCGUGCGAUUUUG
rnacentral:ncRNA from 1 species